UACAGAGGGUGCGAGCGUUAAUCGGAAUUACUGGGCGUAAAGCGUGCGUAGACGGUUAUUUAAGUCGGGUGUGAAAGCCCCGGGCUCAACCUGGGAAUGGCAUUGGAAACUGGCGAGCUAGAGUGUGGCAGAGGGGGGUGGAAUUCCACGUGUAGCAGUGAAAUGCGUAGAGAUGUGGAGGAAUACCGAUGGCGAAGGCAGCCCCCUGGGCCAAUACUGACGCUCAUGCACGAAAGCGUGGGGAGCAAACAGG
rnacentral:rRNA from 1 species